rnacentral:rRNA from 1 species
UACGUAGGGUGCGGGCGUUGUCCGGAAUUAUUGGGCGUAAAGAGCUCGUAGGCGGCUUGUCGCGUCGGAUGUGAAAGCCCGGGGCUUAACUCCGGGUCUGCAUUCGAUACGGGCAGGCUAGAGUUCGGUAGGGGAGAUCGGAAUUCCUGGUGUAGCGGUGAAAUGCGCAGAUAUCAGGAGGAACACCGGUGGCGAAGGCGGAUCUCUGGGCCGAUACUGACGCUGAGGAGCGAAAGCGUGGGGAGCGAACAGG